rnacentral:tRNA from 1 species
UAUAAGGUGGCUGAGAUGUAGGUGUUGGUUUGUAAAAUCAAAAACGAGGAAGUUUUCUCUCUUAUAA